UACGAAGGGUGCAAGCGUUACUCGGAAUUACUGGGCGUAAAGGGCGCGUAGGCGGCCUGUUAAGUCGGACGUGAAAUCCCCGGGCUCAACCCGGGAACUGCAUCCGAUACUGGCAGGCUUGAAUUCGGGAGAGGGAUGUGGAAUUCCAGGUGUAGCGGUGAAAUGCGUAGAUAUCUGGAGGAACACCGGUGGCGAAGGCGGCAUCCUGGACCGACAUUGACUCUGAGGCGCGAAAGCCAGGGGAGCAAACGGG
rnacentral:rRNA from 1 species